UAAUACCGCAUAACAACGUUGUUCGCAUGAACAACGCUUAAAAGAUGGCUUCUCGCUAUCACUUCUGGAUGGACCUGCGGUGCAUUAGCUUGUUGGUGGGGUAAUGGCCUACCAAGGCGAUGAUGCAUAGCCGAGUUGAGAGACUGAUCGGCCACAAUGGGACUGAGACACGGCCCAUACUCCUACGGGAGGCAGCAGUAGGGAAUCUUCCACAAUGGGCGCAAGCCUGAUGGAGCAACACCGCGUGAGUGAAGAAGGGUUUCGGCUCGUAAAGCUCUGUUGUUAAAGAAGAACACGUAUGAGAGUAACUGUUCAUACGUUGACGGUAUUUAACCAGAAAGUCACGGCUAACUACGUGCCAGCAGCCGCGGUAAUACGUAGGUGGCAAGCGUUAUCCGGAUUUAUUGGGCGUAAAGAGAGUGCAGGCGGUUUUCUAAGUCUGAUGUGAAAGCCUUCGGCUUAACCGGAGAAGUGCAUCGGAAACUGGAUAACUUGAGUGCAGAAGAGGGUAGUGGAACUCCAUGUGUAGCGGUGGAAUGCGUAGAUAUAUGGAAGAACACCAGUGGCGAAGGCGGCUACCUGGUCUGCAACUGACGCUGAGACUCGAAAGCAUGGGUAGCGAACAGGAUUAGAUACCCUGGUAGUCCAUGCCGUAAAACGAUGAGUGCUAAGGUGUUGGCGGGGUUUCCGCCCCUUCAGUGCCGGGAGCUUAACGCAUUAAAGCACUCCGCCCUGGGGGAGUAACGACCCGCAAGGGUUUGAAACUUCAAAAGGAAAUUGAACGGGGGGCCCCGCAGCAAGCCGGAGGUAGCCAUGGUGGCUUUUAAUUUCCAAAGCCUACCGCGGA
rnacentral:rRNA from 2 species